rnacentral:rRNA from 1 species
GAUGAACGCUGGCGGCGUGCCUAAUACAUGCAAGUCGAGCGAACAGACGAGGAGCUUGCUCCUCUGACGUUAGCGGCGGACGGGUGAGUAACACGUGGAUAACCUACCUAUAAGACUGGGAUAACUUCGGGAAACCGGAGCUAAUACCGGAUAAUAUAUUGAACCGCAUGGUUCGAUAGUGAAAGACGGUUUUGCUGUCACUUAUAGAUGGAUCCGCGCCGCAUUAGCUAGUUGGUAAGGUAACGGCUUACCAAGGCAACGAUGCGUAGCCGACCUGAGAGGGUGAUCGGCCACACUGGAACUGAGACACGGUCCAGACUCCUACGGGAGGCAGCAGUAGGGAAUCUUCCGCAAUGGGCGAAAGCCUGACGGAGCAACGCCGCGUGAGUGAUGAAGGUCUUCGGAUCGUAAAACUCUGUUAUUAGGGAAGAACAAAUGUGUAAGUAACUAUGCACGUCUUGACGGUACCUAAUCAGAAAGCCACGGCUAACUACGUA